UACGUAGGGUGCAAGCGUUGUCCGGAAUCAUUGGGCGUAAAGAGCUCGUAGGCGGCUUGUCGCGUCGACUGUGAAAACCUGGGGCUCAACCCCGGGCCUGCAGCCGAUACGGGCAAGCUAGAAUUCGGUAGGGGAGACUGGAAUUCCUGGUGUAGCGGUGAAAUGCGCAGAUAUCAGGAGGAACACCGGUGGCGAAGGCGGGUCUCUGGGCCGAUAUUGACGCUGAGGAGCGAAAGCGUGGGGAGCGAACAGG
rnacentral:rRNA from 1 species